rnacentral:rRNA from 1 species
AUUGAACGCUGGCGGCAGGCCUAACACAUGCAAGUCGAACGGUAACAGGAAGAAGCUUGCUUCUUUGCUGACGAGUGGCGGACGGGUGAGUAAUGUCUGGGAAACUGCCUGAUGGAGGGGGAUAACUACUGGAAACGGUAGCUAAUACCGCAUAACGUCGCAAGACCAAAGAGGGGGACCUUCGGGCCUCUUGCCAUCGGAUGUGCCCAGAUGGGAUUAGCUAGUAGGUGGGGUAACGGCUCACCUAGGCGACGAUCCCUAGCUGGUCUGAGAGGAUGACCCGCCAACCUGGAACUGAGACACGGUCCAGACUCCUAAGGGAGGCAGCAGUGGGGAAUAUUGCACAAUGGGCGCAAGCCUGAUGCAGCCAUGCCGCGUGUAUGAAGAAGGCCUUCGGGUUGUAAAGUACUUUCAGCGGGGAGGAAGGGAGUAAAGUUAAUACCUUUGCUCAUUGACGUUACCCGCAGAAGAAGCACCGGCUAACUCCGUG